AUUUUAUCACUCUUCUAUUCUGAAGCAUGGAUUAAUUGUGCAAGAUCAGGGUGGGAGAAAAAUCAUGACAGAUGAUACAGAUGGAGACAGAGCUGCAUGGGAAACAAAGGAGACUUGAAAUGGAAAUUAUUUAGAUUCCACACUUCAAGGCCAGACUUCUGACAAUAAUCCAAAAUCCAUUCAACAUGAAUUUACUGAGCAUCUACUGUGUGCUAGGUGCUGGGAUCUAAAAGAAACACAAGGCAAAGUCCAGGUAACUCAAGUAGAUUCAAGGGCAAAAGUUAAAUU
rnacentral:lncRNA from 1 species